AUUGAACGCUGGCGGCAGGCCUAACACAUGCAAGUCGAACGAGUGGCGGACGGGUGAGUAAUGUCUGGGACCCUGCCUGAUGGAGGGGGCUAACUACUGGCCACGAUCGCUACUACCGCAUACAAUCAUAUGUGCCCCGUGGGGAUUCGCUGGUUGGUGGGGUAACGGCUCACCAAGGCGACGAUCCCUAGCUGGGCUGAGAGGAUGACCAGCCACACUGGAACUGAGACACGGUCCAGACUCCUACGGGAGGCAGCAGUGGGGAAUAUUGCACAAUGGGCGCAAGCCUGAUGCAGCCAUGCCGCGUGUAUGAAGAAGGCCUUCGGGUUGUAAAGGACUUUCAGCGGGGAGGCGUUACCCGCAGAAGAAGCACCGGCUAACUCCGUGCCAGCAGCCGCGGUAAUAC
rnacentral:rRNA from 1 species